rnacentral:rRNA from 1 species
GAUUAUGGCUCAGGAUGAACGCUAGCUACAGGCUUAACACAUGCAAGUCGAGGGGCAGCAUUGGAGUAGCAAUACUUCAGAUGGCGACCGGCGCACGGGUGAGUAACACGUAUCCAACCUGCCGCUUACUCGGGGAUAGCCUUUCGAAAGAAAGAUUAAUACCCGAUGGUAUAAAGAGUUCGCAUGUUCUCUUUAUUAAAGAAUUUCGGUAAGCGAUGGGGAUGCGUUCCAUUAGAUAGUUGGCGGGGUAACGGCCCACCAAGUCUACGAUGGAUAGGGGUUCUGAGAGGAAGGUCCCCCACAUUGGAACUGAGACACGGUCCAAACUCCUACGGGAGGCAGCAGUGAGGAAUAUUGGUCAAUGGACGAGAGUCUGAACCAGCCAAAGUAGCGUGAAGGAUGACUGCCCUAUGGGUUGUAAACUUCUUUUAUAAGGGAAUAAAGUGAGGGACGUGUCCCUUUUUGUAUGUACCUUAUGAAUAAGGAUCGGCUAACUCCGUGCCAGCCGCCGC